rnacentral:rRNA from 1 species
GACGAACGCUGGCGGCGUGCUUAACACAUGCAAGUCGAACGGAAAGGCCUCUUUCGGGGGGUACUCGAGUGGCGAACGGGUGAGUGACACGUGAGUAACCUGCCCUUGACUUUGGGAUAACUUCAGGAAACUGGGGCUAAUACCGGAUAGGAGCUCCUGCUGCAUGGUGGGGGUUGGAAAGUUUCGGCGGUUGGGGAUGGACUCGCGGCUUAUCAGCUUGUUGGUGGGGUAGUGGCUUACCAAGGCUUUGACGGGUAGCCGGCCUGAGAGGGUGACCGGCCACAUUGGGACUGAGAUACGGCCCAGACUCCUACGGGAGGCAGCAGUGGGGAAUAUUGCACAAUGGGUGGAAGCCUGAUGCAGCAACGCCGUGUGCGGGAUGACGGCCUUCGGGUUGUAAACCGCUUUCGCUCAUGACGAAGCUUUGUGUGACGGUAGUGGGUAAAGAAGCACCGGCUAACUACGUG